GAAAAUUGGUGGAUUUUAAGUAAUCAAGCAAUCAAAGGUGGUGAGUCCUCCAACAAGGGCAAGAAAAUUGUACCCGAGGAUCGAUAAUCAGAGUACUUUAGAAAUUCAACUCCUGAAAUAGCUCAGAAUAGACUGUAGAUAGCUGAUCGCAUCGAGGACUA